GGAGAAGUAGCUCAACUUGGUAGAGCACUUGGUUUGGGACCAAAAGGUUGCAGGUUCAAAUCCUGUCUUCUUCA